AUGAUACCCUUAGUAGCGGCGAGCGAAGUGGGUAAAGCUCAAGUUUAAAACCUGUUUGUCAUAGACAAACCGGAUUGUAAACUAUGGACAUGUUAUCCAGGCUCUUUGGACCUUCAAGUCCUUUGGAAUAAGGCUUCACAGAGGGUGACAAUCCCGUAGAGGGUCUUGAACAGAGUCUAUUGCGAUGCAUGCUCCAAGAGUCAGGUUGUUUGGGAAUGCAGCCUAAAGUGGGAGGUAAAUCCCUCCUAAAGCUAAAUAUUGGCGAGAAACCGAUAGCAAACAAGUACCGUGAGGGAAAGUUGAAAAGGACUUUGAAAAGAGAGUCAAAAGUACGUGAAAUUGCUUAAAGGGAAGCGUUUGGAGCUAGUUUGGCUAGUCUGUUAUCAGCCUGAGCUUCGGCUUUGGUGUACUAUCAGGCUAUUUUUGCCGGCCAACUCUCAGGAUUGAAAGGAAAGCUUGGUGCUUUGGAGUCUAAAGAGACCCUCGCGGAAGCCUCUGGUGGAGCGUGGUCUGCCUUGGCCCUUUUGAGCCUAUAGUUGGCUUAAUGGCUCUAAACGGCCCGUCUUGAAACACGGACCAAGGAGUCCACCACUGUUGCGAGUGUUUGGGUGGCAAACCCAUACGCGAAAUGAAAGUGAAAGCUAUGAAAUCCGCAAGGAUGGCAAUAGCGUCCGGCCUUUAGGACCGAGACAAAGCAAUAGUGAUGGGACCCGAAAGAUGGUGAACUAUGCUUGAGUAGAGUGAAGCCAGAAGAAAUUCUGGUGGAAGCUCGUAACGGUUCUGACGUGCAAAUCGAUCGUCGAACUUGAGCAUAGGGGCGAAAGACUAAUCGA
rnacentral:rRNA from 1 species